rnacentral:rRNA from 14 species
UUGGCUGUCCAUGUGUUACAAAAACUGUUGUUUUGUAGCCUAUGUUUUAUAGGUAUUUCUCAAGUUUGUUAUUCUAAUCUAGUAUUGUAACUUGGUAGUGAGGCAGGAAUCCUUAGUAAUCUUUUGUUCGUUUCUUUUAGGUGAAGAAAAGAUAAGCUUUAUACAUACUGCCCGUCAAGCGCUGAGCUUAUGGAAUCUUUAUAUCAGUUAGGUAACGCAGUAUUAACUGUUUAUAUUUAAUGGUUGUUAAGUCGUAACAUGGUA